rnacentral:rRNA from 1 species
GCAGCCGCCGCGGUAAUACGGAGGGUGCGAGCGUUGUCCGGAAUCACUGGGCGUAAAGGGCGCGUAGGCGGCCUGAUAAGUAGGGGGUGAAAUCCUGCGGCUUAACCGCAGGGCUGCCUUCUAAACUGUCAGGCUAGAGCACGGUAGAGGCAGAUGGAAUUCCCGGUGUAGCGGUGGAAUGCGUAGAGAUCGGGAAGAACAUCAGUGGCGAAGGCGGUCUGCUGGGCCGUUGCUGACGCUGAGGCGCGACAGCGUGGGGAGCAAACAGGAUUAGAUACCCUGGUAGUCCACGCCGUAAACGAUGGGCACUAGGCGUCGGGGGGAGCGACCCUCCCGGUGCCGUCGCUAACGCAGUAAGUGCCCCGCCUGGGGAGUACGGCCGCAAGGCUGAAACUCAAAUAAAUUGACGG